rnacentral:rRNA from 1 species
GACGAACGCUGGCGGCGUGCCUAAUACAUGCAAGUAGAACGCUGAAGGAGGAGCUUGCUUCUCUGGAUGAGUUGCGAACGGGUGAGUAACGCGUAGGUAACCUGCCUGGUAGCGGGGGAUAACUAUUGGAAACGAUAGCUAAUACCGCAUAACAGUAGAUAUCGCAUGAUAUCUACUUGAAAGGUGCAAUUGCAUCACUACCAGAUGGACCUGCGUUGUAUUAGCUAGUUGGUGAGGUAACGGCUCACCAAGGCGACGAUACAUAGCCGACCUGAGAGGGUGAUCGGCCACACUGGGACUGAGACACGGCCCAGACUCCUACGGGAGGCAGCAGUAGGGAAUCUUCGGCAAUGGACGGAAGUCUGACCGAGCAACGCCGCGUGAGUGAAGAAGGUUGUCGGAUCGUAAAGCUCUGUUGUAAGAGAAGAACGAGUGUGAGAAUGGAAAGUUCACACUGUGACGGUAUCUUACCAGAAAGGGACGGCUAACUACGUG